rnacentral:lncRNA from 1 species
AGAUAUUAUUGAUUCACACGUGAUUCACUCGGCACUUUGACGUCAUAUAUAAAUAAUAUCUAAAUCCUAUACAAUCAUCUUCACUUCUAGUAUUCCUUAUGGCAAAUUUCACUCUUUAAUUAUAAUAAUAUACGAACAUAAUAAAUACUUAUAUAGAGGUAAUCUUAGUUAUAUAUUAUACAUUAGUUCCUUAAACUUACUAAAAGAUAUCCUGGAAACUCAAGUUCCAACUUAUGAUUCUAAAUCUGAUCAAUUUACGGAAAGACUUAAAUACUCGACAAGAUCUUGUGCCAUCCUUAAUUUUCCAAAUCCAAUUGAUUAUUUCUAUCCACUCAUCUCCUUAGGAAGACUUGGAUUCAUUUGUGCAAAUUAAAAAAGUCGUUUAAACUAAAGACAUCAAUAAUUCGUGGCAAGCAUUUUACUGAUGCCAAUUUUACUUUAGAGAGAUAUUGACUUGAUAAAAAUCAUUAAAAAGGAGGCUCACACCUGAAGGUGUUACUUCAUAUAAUUUUUUUAAAGAUCUAUUAAAAGUGAUCCAUUAUAAUCUUUUUAAGAUUGUUUGGCAUAUUACUAAAUGAAAUCACCCACUAUGGAAGAAUCAAUUCACAUCAAAGAGAUGGAAUCUUAUCCAAACCUAGAAUUCAUGGAAGAACCAAAGACACUCAUAAAGUUAAUUGAUGAACCAAUGGAGGAAAAAAAUAUUGAAUCUAUCAUUGACAAAUCUACCGAGUGUAGAAAAAGUCCUGAGACCUGCCUCUAAAUAGUCAUUAAAAUACUCAUAAUUGUUCUGGAUGAUGUUUUAUGAAUCUGGCCACCAUCAUCCUAAAUGACAGCCUCUGAUCGCCUCUGGAAUCCCUUGCAUAUAUUGGCAACGUAGUCUUUUUUCAUAAUCUUCCACUGCUGGUGAAUAGAUGUCUACAGGGUAUCAAAAUUUAGCUAGCGGACAUUGAAGACUUCUUCAAAUGGAGUAAUACAAUGGAUUCAGAUCUGGAUUCUGAAGGGGCCAAAGGUACUUGGACCAGAAGUUUAUGUUGCUACUGAUUCACUCUUCUACAAUAUUAGCAGUAUGGUCCGGAUAGCCGUCAGAAAUAGAAAAACAGGUAGAAAAGUAUACCAGACAGUUAUUGAAAUGGGGCUUUUAAAACAAAAGCUAUGGAAAUAAUUGAGCAUAUCAAAAGUCAAAGCUUUUUAGCCAUGGCGUAUUAAUUCAGAAGAGAGAAUCGACAGCUCUGAACAAAAACAACUAACUACAUAGUUGUAACUUGAAGACUGCAGUUCGGUCCAGUUCAUUCCUAAAACUGAUAAAUUUCGUUGCUUGAUGGCAUCUCAACUGUAUUUCUUCUUCUUUAAUCAAUUCCAGUACUGGCAGUCGCAAGGAGCGACAGUCAAUCCGAAGAAUGGAUUGUACCGGAUCGGAAAAAUAAGGACUAACAUCAAACUAGUUGUUACCCAGAAAAUAAAAAAUAAAAAUGAUUUUAACAAUUUCAAUCAGUUAUAUAUUAUACAUUUCUUUAUCAUAAUUAUAAAAAACUACAAAACAAACUCAAAUUAGCCAACUAAUGUACUAUAAUUAAAUAAAAUUGUACUUAAACGCAUAAACUAAGUCAUCAAAAUACAUAAACACGCAUAAAUGUAUACAAACCGCAAAUAUUACAACCCAUAGUUAAGAAUAAACAUAGAAUACAUUAAGUAAUGAAGAUACAA